GAGAUAGCUGGUUCUCCCCGAAAUAGCUUUAGGGCUAGCCUCAGGGAAAAGAUUGCAGGCGGUAGAGCACUGAUCAGGAGAGGGACCUACCCGGUUACCAAACCCAGUCAAACUCCGAAUGGCUGUAAUCAUACCUGGGAGUCAGACUGCGACUAAUAAGGGCCGUAGUCAAAAGGGAAACAGCCCAGACCAUCAGCUAAGGUCCCCAAUGCCGUGCUAAGUGGCGAAGGAUGUGGCAUUUCAUAAACAACCAGGAUGUUGGCUCAGAAGCAGCCACCAUUUAAAGAGUGCGUAAUAGCUCACUGGUCGAGAGACGCUGCGCCGAAAAUGUCCGGGGCUCAAGCACGGAACCGAAGCUAUGGCAUGAUAGCAAUAUCAUGGGUAGGGGAGCGUUCUUAUAAGGAAGAAGCAUGACCGGAAGGACAUGUGGACAAAUAAGAAGUGAGAAUGCCGGUAUGAGUAUCGAAAAGAAAGGUGAGAAUCCUUUCCACCGAAAGCCCGAGGGUUCCUGAGCAACGAUCGUCGACUCAGGGUAAGUCGGGACCUAAGCCGAGGCGAGAAGCGUAGGCGAUGGACAACAGGUUGAAAUUCCUGUACCGGAUCAAGUCGAUUGAGCGAAGGAGCGACGCAGGAGGGCACAUGAUCGCGCGGCUGGAAGAGCGCGUCCAAGUGCGUAUGUUGCAGCAGAGGAAAACCCCUGCGGCUAAAAGCAGAGACAUGAUGGGGAGUUAAAGGAAACUUUGACGAACUCAUGGAUCCCACACUGCCAAGAAAAACUUCUAGCGAGACAAGAUCCGCCCGUACCGUAAACCGACACAGGUAGGCGGGGAGAGAAUCCUAAGGUGCGCGGGAAAACCCUCGUUAAGGAACUCGGCAAAUUGCAUCCGUAACCUAGGGAGAAGGAUGGCCCCCGGUCAGUGAAGAGCAGAAACGCUCAGAGCUAAAAGGGGCGGCAGAAAAGAGGCCCAAGCAACUGUUUACCAAAAACACAGGUGCCUGCGAAAGCGAAAGCUGAAGUAUAGGUGCUGACGCCUGCCCGGUGCCGGAAGGUUAAGGAGAGAAGUUAGCGAAAGCGAAGCAUCGAACUGAAGCCCCGGUGAACGGCGGCCGUAACUAUAACGGUCCUAAGGUAGCGAAAUUCCUUGUCGGGUAAGUUCCGACCCGCAUGAAAGGCGUAAUGAUUUGGGCACUGUCUCAACGAGGGGCCCGGUGAAAUUGAAAUACCUGUGAAGAUGCAGGUUACCCGCGACUGGACAGAAAGACCCCAUGGAGCUUCACUGCAGCUUGAGAUUGAAUCCCGGUGACAGAUGCACAGGAUAGGUGGGAGGCGCCGAAGCAUUGCCCUAGGGCGGUGCGGAGCCGAUGUUGGGAUACCACCCUUCUGUUGCUGAGAUUCUAACGCGAGGAGUAACGACCCUGCGGACCCUCUCAGGCAGGCGGUUUGACUGGGGCGGUCGCCUCCGAAAGAGUAACGGAGGCGCCCAAAGGUUCCCUCAGGCCGGACAGAAACCGGCCGAAGAGUGCAAAGGCAGAAGGGAGCUUGACUGCGAGACCAACAAGUCGAGCAGAGACGAAAGUCGGGCUUAGUGAUCCGGUGGUACUGAGUGGAAAGGCCAUCGCUCAACGGAUAAAAGCUACCCUGGGGAUAACAGGC
rnacentral:rRNA from 1 species